UGAGGAAUAUUGGACAAUGGAUGGAAAUCUGAUCCAGCCAUGCCGCGUGCAGGAAGACGGCCCUAUGGGUUGUAAACUGCUUUUGUAUGGGAGCAAUAAGGACUACGUGUAGUUUGAUGAGAGUACCAUACGAAUAAGCAUCGGCUAACUCCGUGCCAGCAGCCGCGGUAAUACGGAGGAUGCGAGCGUUAUCCGGAUUUAUUGGGCUUAAAGGGUGCGUAGGCGGCGAUAUAAGUCAGUGGUGAAAUAUUUCGGCUUAACCGAGAGACUGCCAUUGAUACUGUGUUGCUAGAAUAUGGUUGCUGUGAGUGGAAUGUGUGGUGUAGCGGUGAAAUGCUUAGAUAUCACACAGAAUAUCGAUUGCGAAGGCAGCUCACAAAGCCAUUAUUGACGCUGAGGCACGAAAGUGUGGGGAUCAAACA
rnacentral:rRNA from 1 species